UGGAUCAAUGAUGAGUAUCGGUGGAGGUAUCUGAAUCCCCACCCUGGAUGCAGCCCGCUGUGUGGCUCUGAGGUCCAU
ensembl:snoRNA small nucleolar RNA, C/D box 113-5